rnacentral:lncRNA from 1 species
UCAAAUAGAGCUUCGUAACUGUCCUGAGCCAAUUUUGUAUUAACAGGAAAAGUCAUCGGGCUGUAGUUGGCCUUAGUUGAAAGUUACAGAAUGUAGCAGUAUUUUAUAAUACUGUAGGGAUUGAAACAAUAAAAAUGGAGAAUUAAAUUGAUUUUUCUAUCUUCUUCCUCCAUCUGAGUCGUCGUCGCCGCUACUCCGUCACCGUCCCCUCCAUCGGCUGGCUUGGGGAUUUUCUCCUCCUUGCUCAUCCCUUAUUCGAAAAGCAAUGUCGUCCUUCAUAGCUCCUCAUUAAUCUUGGCUAGAUUUAGAUUGGCAUCGGUGAAAGACAACCUUAUCUUGGAGAUGGCGAUUGAAACCAUCCAAUCUGAUAUAUAGUCUCCUGAGAUAAGACGGCUGGGUCGGCCCGCGACACCAAAGAUGUGAAGCGGCUCCUAGAAGCUAGAAACAUAAGGGAAAAGGAUAAAUGAGACUCACAGUGGCCAUCGGAGACGAAAAAUCUAAGGUGAGGUGACUAGAGGAGAGAGAUAUGGUUCUUCAAUUGGAUGUCCGACGCGAAAGGCAUUGCUCCGACGCUGCCUCUCGAACAGAGCCAAAAAUCGUGUCGAGUAGCUCCCUGUAAUAUAUUCCUGUCCAAACAUGUUUCCUGAGUAGUCCCACCCGAUCGACUAUGCUGUACGCUGAUUCU